ensembl:lncRNA
AGCAUGGCUGUUUGCUAGGCUCAGGGGCUUACAAUUGCUGAUAUGCCUCUGGCCUGCAAGGCUGUUGUCAGUUCUCUCAUUAGUGCAGCUGGGUGGAACCAGCCCCAUGUGUGGCAGCAAAUAGUUGUUUCAAGUGUUGGAAGGUGGAGGCAGAUCCCCUAUGUGGCUGUUUGAGAAGCACAAGUCUUCUGAGGCUGACAAGACCCACCACCCACAGGCCCACACACCCCAUCAAUGCAGUCCUGCACAUGUGUGCACACCACACCCAGCUGAAGGGAACCCACUCACCCUGCUGCAGCAGUUCCACACACCCCCAUCUAAGCAGGCCCACAAGUUACCCAAGGGCUUGCUGGUGGGUGAGGCCAGUCCCUAAGGGCAGGUUGCCUGCCCUGGAUGAGCUGGAUUAAAUCGGUGCCCUAGUUGGUGGGGCAAAGCCCUGCACUAACAGAUCAGGGAAAAAACUCCAAUGGUGUCUUCCAGUGUCUGUGUCAGCAUGCCAGUGUUUGGUCACAAUAAUGGCUGCCACCAAUGUCUCAGUCACUGGAGAGGUGGUCCCAGUCACCUCUUGCUUCCCUGAGAUGUGCCCAGAACCUACCAAGUGAGUCUCUUUUCACCAAAGGGCUGUGCACCUUUCUUUCUGGUGACUUUGUGUUGCUUUCCAAAACUGGUAAAUUUGUGCACAGGCCCUUUAAGAGCAGGCUUUUUUUCCUUAUGUCUAAUAGCUUUUCUGGGGCUAUUCCCCAAAGUACUUAAUAGCCAGCAAAGCCAGAUAUUAUGCCACUCAUCUUGGUUGUACUAAGUCCAAAAGCUGCUUAUUGUGGCAGGUACUCUCCUGCUCAGAUGCCCCACUCCUCCAGGGAGAGCUUCAUACAGUAAGAUUGCCCCUGGCUGUGAAGCGCCACAACUGCAAUGUGGCUUUUUUCUCUCCAAGGAGGAAUUCCUGCCUGUUUCACUUCAGUCAGCACUGUCCCUUGUUGUAGGGGUUCUUUUUAUCCAGUUUCCAGUUCUGUCUCAGGGGUAAUUGUUCUCAGGGGAGGUGUAAGUUUGUUGAGUCCAUGGGAGGAGGCGAGUUCAGAGUCUGCCUACACCUCCAUCUUCCCAGCAAUCCUCAAGAACUGACAUCUUAACAAAAUUGAGUCUUCCUUCCAUGAGCACAAAUAUCUCUCUAGUUUUUUAGAUCUUCUUUGAUUUCUUUCACCAGAAUUUUUUAGUUUUCCUCACAUAGAUCUUGUACAUGUUUGUUAAAUGCAUACCUAAAUAUUUCAUUUUUGUGUGCUAAUGCAAAAAUUGUUAACAUUAUAUUGUACACAAUAGGAAGUCACAAGUUGCUAAGCAAAGGAGUAAUAUUGUACAUUUAUUUUUAAGAAGAUUGUUCUGCUAACAGUAUGGAAAAUGGCUUAGAUUUGAGUAAAAUUGGAGGUAGAAAGACUAGGUAGGAGAUUUUUUUUUUUUUUUAAUGUACAAGUGGAAGUAAAGGUCUAAACUGAAGCAGUGGCAGAAGGUUGGGAAAUAGUAAGUCUGACUCAAGAAAUAAGGCAAAUUGUAAGAAUGUUCUUUUUCUAAGAAAGCCAAGAAGACAGACAUUCCAACAGCCUUGAUGACUAUUCACCAACACUAAUCUUGAUGUCCCAGGAAGGUGGCAUUUAAAGACCAAAAUGGCAGUGCUAGCUGCCUACUCCAGCAUCCUCUAGUCCCCUGCUCCUUUCCCUGCCUAACACAAUCCCAGUUUGUUCAACUGUCCUCCUUCCCUACCUGGCCAAGUGCCACAGGGGAAGCCAGCUCCAGCCCAAGCUCCAAGGGUGGCCUACUGGGUCUAAGGGUCACCCCAGCCCCCUUGCCAGGACUGGAUCAGGAAUGGGCAUGUGGGCCAAUUCUGGCCAGUGAGACAAAAGGAGAAGUCUGUUGAAUGGGGUGGGUACAGGGUCUAGAAAGAUGUCCUCGUCCUAAGUGAAAGCCACGGGAACAGUCUCCUGCCUGACUCUGAAGGUCAUCCUGUCUUUGUAACUCCCAAACUCCUGCAGCCAUAUCUGUCAGCUGAGGACGGAGCCAACAGUGAAGGUGGUAUUGCAUAGAAAAGGCACUGCUGAGCUGCUGAGUCAAAGAAAACACAUUUCUUUAUUGUUUAAGGCAGGAGGAGGUGGGAUCUCUGAGACUUAUAUCUGAAGGCAUCCUAUCUGUUACCCUCCCCUUGUUCAGCAACUAGGCUAACUAAGCUUGCCUACUAGCCACUCUCCCCACCCCAAGGAUGCCGAGUUCUUUCCUAGUAUCAGCUUAGAUCACACCCCCAGAGUAUGACUUUGCCUGCUAGUUUACUGCUGUAUCCCCCACAUCCAGAACCUGACAUUCAGUAGGGACUUAAUAAAUAUCUAAUGUAUCAAUGAAUGAAUGAAGCACGGAAGAGCUAAAAUUUGUAGCACAUGUGUCUAGCUACUCCCCAUCCCCCACUCUGUUUUCUCCCACUAAGAUUUACCAUUAUUGAGUUUUGACUGAUGUAUGCCUUUGACAAGCACCAAAGAUUAUAGCAAGAAAUAGCUAUAUCAGAGUAGGCUCUGCAUUUGCUAUACAAAAAGAUUGUCAAACACACUAUAUCAUGUUUUCAGAGUUCCCAUACAAAGGCUAAAAGACUUUCUAAAAGAAACAAUGCCAGAGUAAAAAGCAUGCUUCUCUUGGAGAAUUGUUCUGACUCCUUCUAGUAGGGUGUAUGGACUAUCUAAUUGGGUGUCCUGUUUUGCCUGGGCUGCCAGGAAGCUCAGAGACUAAUCUGAUGCUAAAUCCUAGUAACUCUAUUACACUUCACAGUCACUGCUUGCUUCUCCCUCCUUUCCAUGGCUUUGCUGUUCUAAUUUUAGUUGAAUGACCUUAUUGUGUUUGCCUUUAUUGUAAGUUGCUUCAAAUCCUUUUCAGAAAGAGGUGCGUAUCUAAAAAAAAUUAACAGCUCAAUUCUAAAAAGCCAUGCAGAGCCCGAGUUGGCACCACUUGCUCUUUGUAAUAGCCUGGGAGGGCCCCCAAAGUAGGCUGGUGCUUUAUCUUUACAAACACAUGUCAGCCGGAGCAGCGGUGCUCACUGGAGAUCUCCGGAGACAAGGGCAAAAAUCACCCGUCAUUUUCUACUGAAUGGGUGUCUGGAGGACCAUUCAGGCUCCUAGUGGCUGGAUUUGGUGGGGCGGAUUAACGUGGAGAGCCCUUGGAAAAUCAGCAUCGCCCCUGCCUGGACCUGCUAUUGUUCCAGAGGUGAAUGUUCUGUCUAGUUGUGCAGAUAGAAUCUCUCUCCUGCCCGGCCCCAGCCCCACCGGCUUUCUGUGCAGGGUCCUGUGCCCUUUCCCAACUCUGGGCCCCAGGCCUCUCCAGCCAGCCCUCCAUGCCAGCUGGCAGAGGGUGCUCUUGUACAGCAGAUCUGACGCCCUCCCCAUGAAUGCGCUCCCGCUGAAGCCCUCCCGCUCCAGCCAGGCUGCCUCCACCCGCUGGGGCCCUGGAACCCUCACGUGGGGCAAACUGCUGCUCCUUUCCGAAGGCUAGCCUGGGCCAUGCCCCAAGCCACUGCUGAGCUGGCCUCAUUCCCCUUCAAGCUUGUGUGCCCCUCUCUGCACCCCAAUUUCCCCACAAAUGGAACAGAGUGAGGCUGAAUAUGAGAGGAUGUAGUGGGUUUGCUGAUAAUUAUAUGUGUGUUGGGCGGGGAGAGAGAGAGAGGAAAGAGACACUGCCCUCUCAGGGCUCUGCAAUAACAGACUUCAAGAUUUAAUUGGAAAUUUAGUAAAUCUGCUAAAACAUUUAGUGGUUUAAAUUUUUCCUGUUCUGCAAAGAAACAAAGGCUUCUGGUUUACCUUGCGUCUUUCAACAACUUUAAUUUCAUUUGUAGAUUACGGGUGGAAGUAGCAUUUCCACUCGAUUGCAUACUGGGCAUUAAGAAGACAAAAACCUUCCUUGUUUGCAGCCCUCAGAAUUUUUUCAGACAUUAAGCUGUAGGUGGCAUUCUUUAUACCUGACAUCAGAGCACUUUUGUCAGGCGUUUAGUUGACAGGAUUCACUGCAAGCCCAUCGUAGGAGUGUGAAGCAGGAAAACAAGAAAAGAUUUCAUCCAGGUGGUCAGAGAGAGGAGUGUGCACAGGCCGAUCGGCCCGAUCGGGUAACCACUGUUUUCAAACUGUGUAAUUAAAGAUCCUUAGAGUUCUUCGAAGGGAAUUAAUUAGUAGAGAAAGGAUGUUUUGUUUACAGUCUUUAUCAUCAACAUAAGCAAAAGCCAGCCUUGGUAUUGGUGGUGAACUGGACCGAAUUCUCCCGAAGCCAAGAAUGCUCCACGCAGAGCUUUCCUUGUUUUUGGAGGUUUGUUUCAUCCGUGCAUUAACUUGCCAUCAGGGGAGGGGAGGGGGCAGGGGCAGUGGUGACUGUGGGUAGAGGAGAGGCAUUCUCAGUUUUGUCGAAACAUGUGCAGCCCCAUGUGGAGUUCCCACCCCUGAGACCCACGUUCGCAGAGGAUGGGGGCAGGGUGGGGUUAGCGUUUAGGCUCUGGAUGGUUUGUCUGUGGGUGACCAUGUUUUCAGGCCCACACCGCUGCACCUGGGUAGCCCUAAAGAAAUCAUCUGGUAAUGUGUCACAGUGGGUGUCACUGUACUGGCCUGGUGGCAUCAGCAACACCUGGAGUGCUUCAUAAUAAAGGCAGCUGACAGUCCCACCCAGACCAACUGAACCAGAACCUCCUGGGAUGGGACUCAGAAAUCUGUGUCAUUAACUCAUGACCCAAGUGCUUCUGAUAGGCAGCCAGGUUUGAUACGCAAGCUACUGAUCUAAGCUGUUGAGCCACCUUUUGGUGAAAGGACAUGGGCAUGAAGAGGGGAGAAGGGCAGGGGUACCCAGGGAGUUUACCCUGGGCCAGAAAAGGCCAGUCACAAAGUGUUAGACCCAUGGCCUCUGGGAAUUGACUAAAGCUGCUGCUGGGAGCCAGGCUCACUCUUUGCAAAGUGCAAACAAACCCUGACCUUGGAGGAUCAUCCUAUCAGCCCAGUCUGAGCCAUAGGGGCCAUUCUCCAAGCCAAGGGAGACACAGGGCAGCUGCAGCCCUCCGCUCCCCUUCCCUCAGGACUCCGUUUCAUGGCUCCAGGAAACGUUCGAAAGGACCAGCAGCCUUCUGGGAGGUAACGCGGGGCAUGCAGGUGCAGUGUGGCUGCAGUGAGAGGCUUUCAACAACGCUGGCAAAGUGGAGGUUUGUGCUUCAGCGUGCGCUUUGUUUUGUUCAGUAGACCCAGUGAACAGUCACGCUCAGUUUUCAGUACUUGCAGAGUCACAACGAUAACAAGUCUCCUUAUCCUAACUGUCAUGUAAUAAGGAUUGAGCAUGUACCAGGCACCGGCCUAGGUGCUCCACAUAAGAUCUCUCACCUAAUCCAUGCUGCCAUCUCCGUUUAUAGAUGGAGAAAUUGAGUCUCAGAGAAGGUGCCUGAGGUCACACAGCCAGUUGCCAAAAGAGUCAGGUUUCCAAUCCAGGUUGACUUGAUUGCAAAGCCUGACAGUUUAUAAAUGUAAAUGCAGGCCUGGUGUCAGAUUUCAGCCUGAGAGGAAGCUUAUGGAGAAAGGCAAGGUCACUAAAGUGAAGACUGGUUUCCCACCCUGUGCCCGAGUAAGUGGACGCUGAGCAAGGCUGUCCACCUGUCAUGUUGGGUGAAAUCUUGGAAGACACCAUGUUACCUGAAAACAUGGCAACUGCCGACUCAGCUGUGGCUAGGAAUUGGUUCUUCUGCCUUGCUGAUUUAUUUAUUUUAUGUUUAGUCCCCUUUUCCCCUAGAAAAAUAACCUUCACCUCUUUGCCUACAGUUCUGUUGACUGCAGUAAUGUAUACUGACCACAGCAAUUGAUAAAGAAAUAAAGGCUUCUGUCAGAUCUCCAAGUGGAGGGACACCAAGGAGGCACUAACGAGCAAGGGAGCCCCAGCCAGCUCGGAAGCUACUGAAAGUGUGUUUUGUUUGGCUGAGGCUGGAGAAGGACAGCAGCUAUGGGCUGUUACACUGAUGCCGCCACUGAAGUUCAGCAGCGUUAAUUGACUGAUAAGGGCCGGGCAGCGAAUCGCAAUGAGAAAGGCCAUCGGAGAUUUUCUUGCUUUAUUUCUCUCUGCACUUCAUUUACAUCUUAAGCCAUAUUGGUGAUCCAGAUUUGAAUAAAGCCACGGCUUAAGCAGUGAUUAGAUCUCAAUAGCUUGGAUUUUCUGUGAAAUUGCUGCAUUUUUACUAGAUGUAUUUAGAAAUACUGGUGAAAACUGACACCUUGGGUAACUUUAUCAUUUAAAAUGGAGCUUCGGGUGGAUAAAAAAAACCAGCUAAAAUGGGAGUAUUAGUGGCCAGGCCUUUGACUCCAGCAGUGUCAGGGGUUAGAAUUAGACAAAACCCAAGCUCAGUGUGACUUGGGCUAGAAAGAAUGCAGAUAAGUCCACCCAGCACCUUCCCUUCGGCCUGCUGUCCCCAAAAAUGGUAAUUGAAGCAAUGAUCCCGGAACCUGGAGGAAAGUAAGGAAGCCAAAAGGAAUAUAUAAUGCAACAAGGAGCUUUUUUUAUUCUGAGAUUUUUUUUUUAAUCAUGAAGCAAUAUUUUUAACUCUAAGGUUAACCUGCUAAUCCUUAAGCUGGUGAUAUGGCAGUGUCAGAUGUGACGGGAUUUUGUGAUUCUCAUUAUUGUUAUGUAUUGUUCUUUCCCUGGUAUUCC